UACGUAGGGCGCAAGCGUUGUCCGGAAUUAUUGGGCGUAAAGAGCUCGUAGGCGGCUCGGUAAGUCGGAUGUGAAAACUCGGGGCUCAACCCCGAGACGCCAUCCGAUACUGCUGUGGCUUGAGUCUGGUAGGGGAGAACGGAAUUCCUGGUGUAGCGGUGAAAUGCGCAGAUAUCAGGAGGAACACCGGUGGCGAAGGCGGUUCUCUGGGCCAGUACUGACGCUGAGGAGCGAAAGCGUGGGUAGCAAACAGG
rnacentral:rRNA from 1 species